rnacentral:rRNA from 1 species
AGAGUUUGAUCCUGGCUCAGAGCGAACGCUAGCGGCGNGCUUAACACAUGCAAGUCGGACGCAUGGCUUCGGCCAUGAGUGGCGAACGGGUGAGUAACACGUAGGUUACGUACCUUCUGGUGGGGAAUAACCUGGGGAAACCUAGGCUAAUACCGCAUGUGUCCUUCGGGAUGAAAGCCUUCGGGCGCCAGAAGAGCGGCCUGCGGCCCAUUAUUUAAUCCUUGUUGGUGAGGUAACGGCUCACCAAGGGUACGAUGGGUAGCUGGUCUGAGAGGAUGAUCAGCCACACUGGAACUGAGACACGGUCCAGACUCCUACGGGAGGCAGCAGUGGGGAAUAUUGGACAAUGGGCGCAAGCCUGAUCCAGCUAUGCCGCGUGGGUGAUGAAGGCCUUCGGGUUGUAAAGCCCUGUCGGGAGCGGACGAAACCCUUACGGGUUGACGGUACCUCGCAAGAAAGCACCGGCUAACUCCGUGCCAGACAGCCGCGGUAAUACGGAGGGUGCAAGCGUUGACUCGGAAUUUAACUUGGGCGUA